rnacentral:rRNA from 1 species
UGGGGAAUUUUGGACAAUGGGCGAAAGCCUGAUCCAGCAAUGCCGCGUGUGUGAAGAAGGCCUUCGGGUUGUAAAGCACUUUUGUCCGGAAAGAAAUCCUUGGCUCUAAUACAGUCGGGGGAUGACGGUACCGGAAGAAUAAGCACCGGCUAACUACGUGCCAGCAGCCGCGGUAAUACGUAGGGUGCAAGCGUUAAUCGGAAUUACUGGGCGUAAAGCGUGCGCAGGCGGUUUGCUAAGACCGAUGUGAAAUCCCCGGGCUCAACCUGGGAACUGCAUUGGUGACUGGCAGGCUAGAGUAUGGCAGAGGGGGGUAGAAUUCCACGUGUAGCAGUGAAAUGCGUAGAGAUGUGGAGGAAUACCGAUGGCGAAGGCAGCCCCCUGGGCCAAUACUGACGCUCAUGCACGAAAGCGUGGGGGAGCAAACAGGAUUAGAUACCCUGGUAGUCCACGCCCUAAAACGAUGUCAACUAGUUGUUGGGGAUUCAUUUCCUUAGUAACGUAGCUAACGCGUGAAGUUGACCGCCUGGGGAGUACGGUCGCAAGAUUAAAACUUAAAUGAAUUGACGGGGUCAUAGCUGUUUCCU